CUCUAUUCCUCACAAGCACGAAAAACCUCACAACAUACACGUAGCAAAUGGCAAAAUCUCAAAUUUCCAAAGUCAUUUUCUUUGCCCUUCUCAUCUGCUUCCUCCUCAUAGCAUCCAAUGGUAAGAGGUCCUUAGUUCUUCUUCUUCUUCAUUUUUUUUUUCAAAAUAAAUGUCUUCUCCAACUUUCGGUCAAGACAUCUUGUAGAAAAAUUUCAUGAUGAAGCUACUUUAAUUAUUGUUUGAAACUAAUUUCUAAAAGAAUUCUUUUUCAAAAAAACGUUUAGAGGAGGCCAUAUUGAUACAUCUCCCUCUAAAAGUUCAUCUAAAUAGAUUUCUUUUGAAUGAAAUUAUCAAACAUGUCAAAAAUCUUCUUUUGACUUUUAAAAAGUCAUGCCAAACGCAUCCUUCAUAUACAGUACGUGAAACGGCAUAACAUUUCAAUAUGCUAAACAUGCCAUAAGUUUGCUUGGUAGUAAGGAUUUUUUUUAUUAAAAUAUUUUAAUUUUAUAGAUAACAAAAGAAAAAUUACAAGCAAGAGAGGAAGAUGAAGUCAAGACCUCCACCAAUUAGAAUUCUAAUUCGGAUUUGAUAGCACUUCAACUAAGAAAAAGACAUUAAAAUUUAUUUAUCAUAUUGUGCAGUCUUAAUCAGUACCUCGUACUUUAUAAAGUUGUUGACAUAAUUUAAGCAUGCAUGCGAAUGUUGAUAAACUUUGCUAAUACAGCCUCUCUCUCUCUCUCUCUCUCUCUCUAUAUAUAUAUAUAUAUAUAUAUAUAUAUAUCAGAGGUGCAGAUGGCGGAAGCAAAAGUUUGUUCGAGACUGAGCAAAACAUGGUCGGGGUUAUGCUUGAACACCGGCAACUGCAACCGGCAAUGUAGGAACUGGGAGGGAGCUCUGCACGGAGCUUGCCACAGAAGGGGCUGGGGAUUCGCUUGCUUUUGCUACCGUAAAUGCUGAGAUUAUAGCUAAAUAAUCUCAACUUGCUUGCUUGCUUGAUAAUAUCAUGAAUAAAAGGUUGCUUAUCAGGUCCGCAACCAUAUAUGUAUUGGAAUAAUUUGUACCAAAGUUUGUUUGUGUUUGUUACUGCUUCAACAUUUGUAUUGCUUCACAAGAAAAUGAAUGUGUUUUCUUUAUCUUUCUAAAUAAACUGUCAAAUUACAAUAUUUGUGUAUCUCUUCUCAUGGGAGACCUCUUAACGUUGAAAUCGAA
rnacentral:lncRNA from 1 species